AGUGAACGCUGGCGGUAGGCCUAACACAUGCAAGUCGAACGGCAGCACAGUAAGAGCUUGCUCUUACGGGUGGCGAGUGGCGGACGGGUGAGGAAUACAUCGGAAUCUACUUUUUCGUGGGGGAUAACGUAGGGAAACUUACGCUAAUACCGCAUACGACCUACGGGUGAAAGCAGGGGAUCUUCGGACCUUGCACGACUGAAUGAGCCGAUGUCGGAUUAGCUAGUUGGCGGGGUAAAGGCCCACCAAGGCGACGAUCCGUAGCUGGUCUGAGAGGAUGAUCAGCCACACUGGAACUGAGAAACGGUCCAGACUCCUACGGGAGGCAGCAGUGGGGAAUAUUGGACAAUGGGCGCAAGCCUGAUCCAGCCAUACCGCGUGGGUGAAGAAGGCCUUCGGGUUGUAGAGCCCUUUUGUUGGGAAAGAAAAGCAGCAGGUUAAUACCCCGCUGUUCUGACGGUACCCAAAGAAUAAGCACCGGCUAACUUCGUG
rnacentral:rRNA from 1 species